rnacentral:miRNA from 1 species
CAAUCCAGGCAAGUGUUUCUAU